GACGAACGCUGGCGGCGUGCUUAACACAUGCAAGUCGAACGGAAAGGCCCUGCUUUUGUGGGGUGCUCGAGUGGCGAACGGGUGAGUAACACGCGAGUAACCUGCCCUUGAUUUUGGGAUAACUUCAGGAAACUGGGGCUAAUACCGGAUAGGAGCUCCUGCUGCAUGGUGGGGGUUGGAAAGUUUCGGCGGUUGGGGAUGGACUCGCGGCUUAUCAGCUUGUUGGUGGGGUAGUGGCUUACCAAGGCUUUGACGGGUAGCCGGCCUGAGAGGGUGACCGGCCACAUUGGGACUGAGAUACGGCCCAGACUCCUACGGGAGGCAGCAGUGGGGAAUAUUGCACAAUGGGCGGAAGCCUGAUGCAGCAACGCCGCGUGCGGGAUGACGGCCUUCGGGUUGUAAACCGCUUUCGCCUGUGACGAAGCGUGAGUGACGGUAAUGGGUAAAGAAGCACCGGCUAACUACGUG
rnacentral:rRNA from 1 species